UUUCAAAGCGAUUGGCCUGUAGUUUGUGAUUAUUUUCAUGUCUGUCUUGUUUUGGGAUGGGGACAAUUUUGAUUUGUCUCCAUUCCUCAAAGAAAUGGCAAUCUUUCCAAUCAUUGUUCAUAGUUCUUAGACCUGGUAAGAGGGAUUUUCUGAAGUUGUCUAAUAUGUCUAAACUUUCCGUGCAGUUCAGCGAGUUCUUAUACAUUGGUAAAGGAUUAGUGUCCAUAAACAGGGAUUGAAGGUGUGACAUUGAUAGGACUGGCUACUGGAUGAUUGAUAAUGGUACGAGGAGCUGCUAUUUUGCUGUACUUUAUUUUAGUCAUUCUUCUGCAAUUUCAUCAUUUAAGUUUCUUAUAAUACAAUUAGAAGAUUUACUCAUUGGAAGAAAUUGAGAAUUGUAGUUGCCAUCAGCCGAAAUGUUGUAAUAAUUGUGGAAUUCUGGUCAGAUCUCAAUCUUUCACAUUUUCGUUCUUCCGUAGCAUUACAAAAAAAAAAAAUUAAUUAAUUUAUUAAAAUAUUGUAUUUUGUUUUGUUAAACGGAUUCGAUGUCUUUAUUGAACUUUUCUUAAGAAUAUGGAUUGUACCGUUCAUGCUGCGGACCUUCACAGACAAA